rnacentral:rRNA from 1 species
GCAAGUCGUACGAAGCCUUCGGGCUUANUGGCGAACGGGUGCGUAACACGUAAAUAACCUGCCCUUCGGAGGGGGACAACGCCUGGAAACGGGCGCUAAUACCGCAUAACGUUACGAAGUCGCAUGGCUUUGUACCCAAAGGAGCAAUCCGCCGGAGGAGGGAUUUGCGUUAGAUUAGCUAGUUGGCGGGGUAACGGCCCACCAAGGCAACGAUCUAUAGCUGGUCUGAGAGGAUGAUCAGCCACACUGGCACUGAGACACGGGCCAGACUCCUACGGGAGGCAGCAGUAAGGAAUAUUGGUCAAUGGGCGCAAGCCUGAACCAGCCAUGCCGCGUGCGGGAAGACGGCCCUCUGGGUUGUAAACCGCUUUUCUUGGAGAGUAAAGCCGCAGUCGCUGCGGGGUGAACGUAUCCAAGGAAUAAGCACCGGCUAACUACGUGCCAGCAGCCGCGGUAAUACGUAGGGUGCAAGCGUUGUCCGGAAUCACUGGGUUUAAAAGGGUGCGCAGGCGGACUGGUAAGUCGAUGAUGAAAUGUCGGGGCUCAACCCCGGCGCUGUUGUCCGAAAACUAUCAAGUCUUGAGAGCGAAUGAGGUAACUGGAAUGGAUGGUGUAGCGGUGACAUGCGUAGAGAUCAUCCAGAACACCAAUUGCGAAGGCAGGUUACUAGUUCGUCUCUGACGCUCAGGCACGAAAGCGUGGGGAGCAAACAGGAUUAGAUA